UACGUAGGGUGCAAGCGUUGUCCGGAAUUAUUGGGCGUAAAGAGCGUGUAGGCGGCUAGGUAGGUCCGUUGUGAAAACUCGAGGCUCAACCUCGAGACGUCGAUGGAAACCAUCUAGCUAGAGUCCGGAAGAGGAGAGUGGAAUUCCUGGUGUAGCGGUGAAAUGCGCAGAUAUCGGGAAGAACACCCGUGGCUAAGGCGGCUCUCUAGUACGGUACUGACGCUGAGACGCGAAAGCGUGGGGAGC
rnacentral:rRNA from 1 species